rnacentral:rRNA from 1 species
CCAGCACCCCGAGUGUCGGGACGAUUAUUGGGCCUAAAGCAUCCGUAGCCGGUUUUACAAGUCCUCCGUUAAAUCCAACUGCUUAACAGAUGGGCCGCGGAGGAUACUAUAAGACUAGGAGGCAGGAAAGGCAAGCGGUACUCAGUGGUAGGGGUAAAAUCCGUUGAUCCAUUGAAGACCACCAGUGGCGAGGGCGGCUUGCCAGAAUGCGCUCGACGGUGAGGGAUGAAAGCUGGGGGAGCAAACCGGAUUAGAUACCCGGGUAGUCCCAGCUGUAAACGAUGCAGACUCGGUGAUGGACUAGCUUUAUGCUAGUCCAGUGCCGCAGGGAAGCCGUUAAGUCUGCCGCCUGGGUAGUACGGUCGCAAGACUG